CACGUAGUUAGCCGACCCUUAUUCAUGAGUUACCGUCAUAUUCUUCACUCAUAAAAGCAGUUUACGACCCGAGGGCCUUCAUCCUGCACGCGGAGUUGCUCCAUCAGACUUUCGUCCAUUGUGGAAGAUUCCUCACUGCUGCCUCCCGUAGGAGUCUGGACCGUGUCUCAGUUCCAGUCUGGCUGGUCAUCCUCUCAGACCAGCUACCGAUCGUCGGCUUGGUGAGCCUUUACCUCACCAACUACCUAAUCGGACGCGGGCCGCUCCCAAAGCGUAAUAAAUACUUUAAUCCGAAGAUCAUAUGCGGCAUUAGCCACCCUUUCGGGCAGUUAUUCCUCACUUUGGGGCACGUUCCCACGCGUUACUCAGCCGUCCGCCGCUCGCCGGCAAGUAGUAAACUACUCCCGCUGCCGCUCGACUUGCAUGUGUUAGGCACUCCGCCAGCGUUCAUCCUGAGCCAGGAUCAAACUC
rnacentral:rRNA from 1 species